UGUUGCUAUGGUCUGUGACCCAGCUCCAUCUUAGCUACGCUGAAGGUUUUGAGAGACUAGGCAGUUGUUGGAAACAUUGACUGAAAAGAUCAAGCAAAGUUGGAAAGGAGCAAAUCUCUAUGUAAACAUCAAUAUCGUCAAUUAAUUAGGAAACACAGCAAGAUAAAUAAUAAGAACCCAUAAAAGGUCACCGGCUGUACUCUAGGAUGAAUCAGUGUAUUGAAGUUGACAAGAAGGACAAUUCCACAGAUGAUGGGAUUUGGGAGAGUAUCACAGCUAAGACUAUCUAUGGAAGACUGGAGGACACAGACUACGUGAAUUCUCACACGGGGCUCUCAACCUGCUUCCUCCCACUCACAUGCCACUUAAUAAAUAAACCUUGCUCAACAAAAAAGCAAUUUUACUGUACUAUGCUGAUUUGCUUGAAAAUCCUUGAUAAGGGCCCGCUUGCAAAAGGCUCCUGUAAGCCCUUGUCUGGCUGGUGCUCAGCACCUGGCAGGAUUUGUCCCUAGAUAAAAGCAAUUUCUCAGGGGACCUUGUGUCUUACACAAGGAGACAAAAGCAAGUACUCUUUUUUUGGAUUUUAUGUCUGUAUGUUUUUGUAUGCGCACAUGUGUGUGAG